UACGUAGGGUGCGAGCGUUAAUCGGAAUUACUGGGCGUAAAGCGUGCGCAGGCGGUUUUGUAAGCCAGAUGUGAAAUCCCCGGGCUCAACCUGGGAAUGGCAUUUGGGACUGCAAGGCUGGAGUACGGCAGAGGAGACUGGAAUUCCUGGUGUAGCAGUGAAAUGCGUAGAUCUCAGGAGGAAUACCGAUGGCGAAGGCAGGUCUCUGGGCUGAUACUGACGCUCAUGCACGAAAGCGUGGGGAGCAAACAGG
rnacentral:rRNA from 1 species